GACGAACGCUGGCGGCAGGCUUAACACAUGCAAGUCGAACGGAUGUAGCAAUACAUCAGUGGCAGACGGGUGAGUAACACGUGGGAACCUUCCUCGUUGUACGGGACAACUCAGGGAAACUUGAGCUAAUACCGUAUACGUCCGAGAGGAGAAAGAUUUAUCGCAAUGAGACGGGCCCGCGUCGGAUUAGCUAGUUGGUGGGUAACGGCCGUACCAAGGCGACGAUCCGUAGCUGGUCNGAGAGGAUGAUCAGCCACACCGU
rnacentral:rRNA from 1 species